UGAGGAAUAUUGGUCAAUGGGCGCAAGCCUGAACCAGCCAUCCCGCGUGCAGGAAGAAGGCGCUAUGCGUUGUAAACUGCUUUUGCAGGGGAAGAAUGUUUCGUAUGUGUACGGAAUUGACGGUACCUUGUGAAUAAGGAUCGGCUAACUCCGUGCCAGCAGCCGCGGUAAUACGGAGGAUGCGAGCGUUAUCCGGAUUUAUUGGGUUUAAAGGGUGCGUAGGCGGAUUAAUAAGUCAGUGGUGAAAACCUGCAGCUUAACUGUAGAACUGCCAUUGAUACUGUUAGACUAGUAUGCAAAUGACGUAGCUGGAAUGUGUUAUGUAGCGGUGAAAUGCUUAGAUAUUACACAGAACACCGAUUGCGAAGGCAGCUUACUGGGCCGUUACUGACGCUGAUGCACGAAAGCGUGGGGAUCGAACA
rnacentral:rRNA from 1 species